AAGGGGAGGAGGCAGACAAAACAUUCCCUGGUUCUCCAGGUUGGGGCUCACUCACCCCCCACUUAACAAAUAAUUUGUUACAGAAACCUUCACGGGCCUUAUGUUCCUCCAGGAAGUGAGUGCAACUACUCAACGUUGGAGAUACGUUGUUCAUUUAUAGAUUUAUUGUAUUUCAGAGGAAACAAAUGAGAACAUGGAUGGUCCCCAGGCACUACAGAGAACAAUUGAAGUCCUUUUUCUUAGCAUCAAACAGACAGAUGGAUGCAAGAAAAGACACCCUCUGCGCAGAAAGAUAUUGGAAGAAAAGGCCAAAUUGGCAGCUGCCAUAGAGGAGUACAACACCCUUGUACCAGAUUUAGCAAUACCAUCUGCAGAUGAGAUCCUUUCCGCAGACCUUCAUGCAUGGCCUUGGGAGCUGCAUGGACAAAGACCUGAGCCCUAGGACCAUGCCCCAGGACUACCUGACAUGAUGACUCCUUGCUGUCCCCAGUCCACCUGGCCGUGCUGCUGCUCCAGUUUCAACUGUUCUGCCUUAUUAUUAUUCGACCAUGCUGGUCAUUUAUGAACAUUUUAACAUCUUGGCCAUGUUCUGUUAUAAUCUCCACCCGGCACAGCCAGAGGAGGACUGGCCACCCCACAUAGCCUGGUUCCUCUCUAGGUUUCUUCCUAGGUUUUGGCCUUUCUAGGGAGUUUUUCCUAGCCACCGUGCUUCUACACCUGCAUUGCUUGCUGUUUGGGGUUUUAGGCUGGGUUUCUGUACAGCACUUUGAGAUAUCAGCUGAUGUACGAAGGGCUAUAUAAAUAAAUUUGAUUUGAUUUGAUGAUCUUCAUCAGAUGACACUCAUAGGACUUCAUUGUUACACGAUACAUAUACACUGCUCAAAAAAAUAAAGGGAACACUUAAACAACACAAUGUAACUCCAAGUCAAUCACACUUCUGUGAAAUCAAACUGUCCACUUAGGAAGCAACACUGAUUGACAAUAAAUUCCACAUGCUUUUUGUGCAAAUGGAAUAGACAACAGGUGGAAAUUAUAGGCAAUUAGCAAGACACCCCCAAUAAAGGAGUGGUUCUGCAGGUCAUAACCACAGACCACUUCUCAGUUCCUAUGCUUCCUGGCUGAUGUUUUGGUCACUUUUGAAUGCUGGCGGUGCUUUCACUCUAGUGGUAGCAUGAGACGGAGUCUACAACCCACACAAGUGGCUCAGGUAGUGCAGCUCAUCCAGGAUGGAAAAUCAAUGUGAGCUGUGGCAAGAAGGUUUGCUGUGUCUGUCAGCGUAGUGUCCAGAGCAUGGAGGCACUACCAGGAGACAAGCCAGUACAUCAGGCGACGUGGAGGAGGCCGUAGGAGGGCAACAACUCAGCAGCAGGACUGCUACCUCCGCCUUUGUGCAGGCCACAAAUGUGCAUGUGUCUGCUCAAACGGCCUGAAGCAGACUCCAUGAUGGUGGUAUGAGGGCCCGAUGUCCACAGGUGGGGGUUGUGCUUACAGCCCAACACCGUGCAGGAUGUUUGGCAUUUGCCAGAGAACACCAAGAUUGGCAAAUUCGCCACUGGUGCCCUGUGCUCUUCACAGAUGAAAGCAGAUUCACACUGAGCACGUGACAGACGUGACCGUGGAGAACGUUCUGCAUGACCGGUUUGGCGGUGGGUCAGUCAUGGUGUGGGGUGGCAUUUCUUUGGGGGGCCGCACAGCCCUCCAUGUUCUCGCCAGAGGUAGCCUGACUGCCAUUAGGUACCGAGAUGAGAUCCUCAGACCCCUUGUGAGACCAUAUUAUGGUGCGGUUGGCCCUGAUUCCUCCUAAUGCAAGACAAUGCUAGACCUCAUGUGGCUGGAGUGUGUCAGCAGUUCCUGCAAGAGGAAGGCAUUGAUGCUAUGGACUGGCCCGCCCGUUCCCCAGACCUGAAUCCAAUUGAGCACAUAUGGGACAUCAUGUCUCGCUCCAUCCACAGACUGUCCAGGAGUUGGCGGAUGCUUAAGUCCAGGUCUGGGAGGAGAUCCCUCAGGAGACCACCCGCCACCUCAUCAGGAGCAUGCCUAGGUGUUGUAGGGAGGUCAUACAGGCACCUGGAGGCCACACACACUACUGAGCCUCAUUUUGACUUGUUUUAAGGACAUUACAUCAAAGUUGGAUCAGCCUGUAGUGUGGUUUUCCACUUUAAUUUUGAGUGUGACUCCAAAUCCAGACCUCCAUGGGGUUGCUAAAUUUGAUUUCCAUUGAUAAUUUGUGUGAUUUUGUUGUCAGCACAUUCAAAUAUGUAAAGAAAAAAGUACUUAAUAAGAAUAUUUCAUUCAUUCAGAUCUAGGAUGUGUUAUUUUAGUGUUCCCUUUAUUUUUUCGAGCAGUGUAUGUUUUGUUCGAUAAAGUUCAUAUUUAUAUUUUAAAAAAUCUCAGUAUACAUUGGCGCGUUUAUGUUCAGUAGUUCCAAAAACAUCCGGUGAUUUUGCAGAGAGCCACAUCAAUUUUACAGAAAUACUCAUUAUAAAUGUUGAUGAAAAUACAAGUGUUAUGCAUGGAACUAGAUACACUUCUCCUUAAAUAACCUCUUGCGACGAGCAAACCCGUAUCCGGGAGCGUAAUCAUAGCCUCAAGUGCAUUACCAUAACGCAACUUUUCCUAAUCAUGAAAAUCGCAAAUGAAAUGAAAUAAAUAUAUUCAAACACAAGCUUAGCCUUUUGUUAACAACACUGUCAUCUCAGAUCUUCAAAAUAUGCAUUACAACCAACGCUAGACAAGGAGACUCCCAGUCAGAUAGAAAAUGUUCCUUUUUUCAAAAAAUAAUAUUUUUGUCGGCGAAAAAGGUCCCGUUUGUUCAUCCUGCUUGGCUGAGAAAUCGACCGAAAAAUACUUCAAAUAUAACGCCGAACUCUUUUCAAAAUUUGCUCCAUAAUAUCGACAGAAACAUGGCAAACGUUAUUUAGGAUCCAUCCUCAAGGUGUUUUUAACAUAUAUAUUCGAUAAUAUAUCCGUCGAGGCAAUUGGUUUCUCAUAAGAAGCGAUUGGAAAAAUGGCUACCGCGAGAUUUUCUCCGGGAGACACCAUGUGACCACUGGCUAAAUAUGGUCCCUUACAGCUAUUGUCCAAUGGAAAUGCCUAAAAAUAUGUCACAAUGCUGUAGACACCUUGGGGAAUGCGUGGAAAACGUAAGCUCAUUCAUAGCUCAUUCACAGCCAUAUGAGGAGUCAUUGGCAUGAGGCGGUUUCAAAAAAUGCGGCACUUCCUGAUUGGAUUUUUAUCUGGGUUUCGCCUGUAACAUCAGUUCUGUGGCACUCACAGACAAUAUGUUUGCAGUUUUGGAAACGCCAGAGUGUCUUCUUUCCAAAGCUGUCAAUUAUAUGCAUAGUCGAGCAUCUUUUCGUGACAAAAUAUCUUGUUUAAAACGGGAACGUUUUUCAUCCAAAAAUGAAAUACUGCCCCCAGAGUUUCAAGAGGUUGAUGCAACCGCUGUGUCAGAUUUCAGAAAAGCUUUACGAAAAAGCCAACCAUGCUAUAAUCUGAGUACAGCGCUCAGAGACUGUAAGGAAUAUCAUGAUUAAAUGACUGAAGAAUAUUCUCAUAUUAAAUGGAACUGUAACUAAGUAAACUUAUACUCAGUUUUAUUAUAUCUGAUUAACAAUAUGUGUUCAUAAGAAGGGAUUGUGUGACACGGACAAGGAGUAAUUAAAGUGAAUGAACACCAUUCCAACUAGUCAGAAAGGAAUGACUUGUGGAUUAAAGUAAGCAGAUAAGGUAGUUAACCUAUGGUUGAACCAACGAAACUUAGCUCUGGGGUGUUUUAGAUAAGACAGUGAGUGCAUUCCUAGGUUUUCUGUUAAUUAGAACUGUCAGCUAAGUGGUGAUCGGUAAUGGUGAGGAGUCAAAAGUUAAUUCAGAUGUGUUGUGUGUCCUGUGUAUGUGCUAGUGGGUCAGAAUGAACUUUGAAUGAACUUUUAAAGUUCCCUUUGUCUCGGUCGAGAGGAGGAGAUUAAUUUUAAAAGCAAUGAAAUGACGUCAUGUUAUUGUAUAUAAACUGUUGCUCGUGGUAACGUGGCAGCGCUCUCCGAGAAUAAAUACUUUUAUCUAUUAUCGAUAA